GGCUGCGUCAGGUGCUGUGUGCAGCUCCAGAGGCCACCUUCCAGCAGGGCCAGAAAAAGCAGGGCUCCCAAUCCCCCACACUAAACCUAGCGACAGUCGGGUUCCUAUGGCAACCUGCGAUUUAUUUUUAGUCGUACUUUAACAUUAACAUGAUGUGAGGGUCUGAGCGCACAUUACUCUCUUUUUACAGAACCGGAAAAAAAAAAAAAGAAAAAGAAAAAAGAAAGAAGGUCUCUUUGUGAGGCAGUGUCACCCCCUGGGGCAGGGAGAGGUGACCGGACGCUAAGGAGUGUGCAGCGACCUGAUCUUGAGGAAGACGCAGAAUGGAACUCACAGAGAAAUCAACUGUAUUGACCUUUAUUACCAUCACUCAUGGGAGCUGAGUCAGGGACAGUCUCCAAAUUCCUACUGGGACACCCUUUAGACACUACCUCGUUUAAUCCUCUGGACUAACUUAAAAGGCAGAAAUGUGCUAUCAUUACUCAACAGAUGAAGAAACUCAGGCACAGAGAGGUCAAGAGACUUGUGCAAGACCACACAGCCUACGAGGGGAGAAGCUGGACUUGAGCACAGGAUUACGCUGAGCACAGUCUGACAUUACACAGAUGUGGUUUCAGAUUCUG